ACAGCAACAAAAAUAGCAAAAUCACUUAAUGGUGACUAGCUGCUAUUUUUAGGAUGUGUACUUUUAUUUCAGAGUCUGUGUAUUUUCCAAUGACUUGCUCAUUUCAUAACUCAAGAGCACAGGCUGCUGAGAAAGGCCCACGGGAAGACAGUUAUGGCCCAAGUGAAAAGGAAGCAGGAGAGGCAGGAACUAUUCAAAGGGCCCAGGGAGCCUGAAGGCCACCCACUCCACCACUCCACAGCAUUUCCUGCUUCGCUUGCCCACUGCUGCUGUAAGAGAAGUGUCUUUACCUCACCUUGCCCCAUGGCAUGAAGAUGGUUUUGUUUGUUUUUAUGUGUUCUCUAUUUAAGUUGUUAAAAUUUUAUUUAAAAGAGAUAUAAUUUAAAAGCCACUGCUAAAAACCUACUGUUUAACUAGGCCACCUCUCACCUGCAGAUGAAACUCCACUGAGAAGAAGAGCCAUCUCUCCUCCUCCUCUGGGCAGCUGCUAAGCCCUGAGGAUUCUGUGGUCUGCAAUACACGCCAGCCGCCACUCAGUACAGAUGUGACUACAUGCACCGUCUCCUGGAAACCUGGGGCUGAACCUUUCUGUUGAGUUGGAAGAUGCCACGAUUGUGAGGGGAACAAACACUGACAAGUCCAUGACACACAAUUCUGGAAUUGCCUUCCUGGUGCCUUAGACGAAAGCACGUACAAGCUCAGGGCUCUGUAUGCUGAGUGACAGGGCACCAUGAAGGAACACAGGGAGAGACAUGCUAGCUGCUUCCAGACCCACUCAGACAGCUGAAGGAAGGGAAGGGAAGGAAACGGCCCUUGGUGUUUUCAGUCCUCAAGGUGGAGAACCAGGGGAUUUCUGAUGAUCUCAGAGGGCUUGCUGUCCUUGUGGCUGUCCGCCAGUGCCUCCUACCAGCUCAGGACCGCUGAAGCACAGCUAGGGCAGACUGAAGCAUUACCUCCGUGUAACGUUGGAGCGAGUAAAAUAUGUUUCACUAUUCUCAAUGGACUUUUAGCUACACA
rnacentral:sRNA from 1 species